GUCAGAUUCCCGUGCUCCGGGUAUAAGAGUGGCGGUAGUGGCACGAACUCGCACGCACUGAACGCAGCCGACCGGUCCGACAUCAACACACAGACACCCACUUACCUAGAGCCGAGUCAAAAGUCCCAGAGCGAUGGCUUCAAUCCCAUCCGCGAACUCCCUCCUGGCUCGCAGAGAGUUCUACAGAAUACGAGCCGGAUCUGAUGCGAGCUCCUCCUCCGCUGGGUCUUGGGACCAGGGCCCUUCAGAGCGAUUUCCUCCUCCGCCAACCCCAGAUCUCCCUUCCGCGACCACAGAGAAGCGCUGGUGGGAUAGAUACUUCUUCUCAGCCGGGACGACCCACAUUGUCACUGCCCAACACCAAGUUUGACGUUGCUGCCCAAAAGCUGCAUCCCAGCCCAAGGGAGUCCAAUGUGAAGAUGAUGGCGCUGAUGCUGGAGAUGGUGGUGGUCGUGGCUGGCGGUGAUGAUGGUAGUCUUGGCGUCCUAUCUAGAGAGCCCAUCAACCAUCCGAAUGACUCACCUGCACAUACCCACGUUGUUUAAACUGUAUUUUUUUUAUGCAAAGGACAAUGUUUUUUGUCCAUUAAUAGGCAGGUAAGGUCAUUUAUGCAUAACUAGUGCAAUUCAAUUGACUCAAAAUACACACGUGAAAUUUAAUGCAAAAGCAGAUUUUAUAACGAUUAUUUUUAAACUUUGCAAUUUCAGGAAAAUGUGUUUUUACUCAGUAAAGACUUGCUUUCAUUAAACUACAAGUAAUUUGGACUAUUUAGUUUCAAAAACUAUAAAUUAACACUUUUUUAAAUAAAUAUACUCGUUCAACUGUUUGGCUUAUAAAUGGACUUGUCCUGUCACGGCAAUGUGGAUUUUCCACCACUGGCUUAGGGCCAUCCAAGUGCCUCGUUUGAACAUUGUAAUACAAAUUCAACAUUUUAAGCAAGAGUUGGGCCCAUGGCUCUUACCUGCGUGUUAUUUUACUGAACGCACACUCAACCAUGCUGUGUGUGUAGACAUAUACUGGCUUAUCAGCUGCAUUAGUUUCAGCUGCCAGUUACUGAUGUGCAAUAUAUUUAGUGUAGAGUGUAAUCUCUGCUGCUGCAUAUGUACAUGUGUUGUGUAAUGCUGUGCAUUUUACGUUAUUUUUAAAUGAGCAGUGUUUAAGGUUAGGAAUAUGGUGUUAUGGUUACGACUUUGGGUAGUGUUGAUUUAGGGUUUGUAUUCGUGUCAGGGUUAUGGUAAGGUGGUUAGUAAUAGCAUUCAGAUUUAGUGUUAGAGUAGGCGAUCGGGAUAUUAUGGGAGGGUAAAUGUUAGUCAAUGUUAUGGUUCAUCUUAGCGUAUUAAAAGUCGGUGUUAGAGAUCAGGGUUAGUGUUAUCAAUUGUUUUCGUGCCACCUUUCGUGUUAUUGGGUAAGCAGCAGGGGGUCGUGAACUUUGUUUUGUCCCAUGUUGACAUUGCUGAUGUAAAGUGACGUUGUUUGUUGAAGCUCAGCGACGCUUCCUGUGGAAGCCCGUCUGUGCCGUGAGCUCGGUUCUGCAGUGGGAGGAUGAUACUGUUUAUUGCUCUGCUUUGUAAAUAUAUAUACAUACAUACUUUUGCACUUGAGGAAUUGUACAUACCUUUUGCAACUAUCCUACCGAAUAAACAUUCAUUUUACAAAAG